UUUAUUAUCAAGUUGUACGUUAAUUCAGGUCUGAUCAUAUAGGUAUACAUUAUUUUCUAGAACUGUUUAGUUUCAGAUGCAAGUUUACCAUCAAUUCACCAUAUGCCAUACAGAGUUUGUUUCAUCAACAGAUAAAAACAACCAAAGCAAAUCACCAUUUAACAUCAAACUUUUGUGCCAGAUUGCAUGAAAUUAUAAUUAUGUAAAGUAACCUCUUUUUGUGCCCUCCACCCCCCCUCCCAAUGAGUGGUGGGGGCAUAUAGAUUUGGUCUUGUCCAUCCAUUUGUCUGUUCGUCUGUGCGUCCAAAGUUAGUAACACGCCUAGUUCAAAAAGUAUUUGAUAUAGAUUGAUGAAACCUUGCAUGAGUCUUUAUCAUGAUAUAAACUUGGGCACCUCCUAUUUUUCGUCUGGCUCCACCCCCUAUUUUUAGCUCACCUGAGCACAAAGUGUUAACACUGUAGAGGCCAGAUUUAUGACUGUAUCUUCAUGAAACUUGGUCAGAAUGUUAAUCUUAAUGAUCUGUAGGUCAAGUUCAAAUCUGGGUCAGGUGAAUUCAAAAAUUAGUUCACUAGGUCAAAUCAAAGGAAAAGCGUGUUAACUCCGUAGAGGCCACAUUUAUGACUAUAUCUUCAUGAAACUUGGUCAGAAUGUUAAUCUUAAUGAUCUCAAGGUCUAGUUUGAAUCUGGGUCAUGUAGGAUCAAAACCUAGGUCACCAGGUCAAAUCAAAGGAAAAGCUAGUUUACACUGUAGAGGCCACAUUUAUGACCAUAUCUUAAUGAAACUUGGUCUGUAUGUUAAUCUUGAUUAUUAUAGGUCAAGUUCAAAUCUGUGUCAGGUGGGGUCAAAAACUAGGCCAAUAGGUCAAAUCAAAGAAAAAGCUUGUUAACACUUUAGAUGCCACAUUUAUGACUGUAUCUUCAUGAAACUUAGUCAGAAUGUUGAUCUUGAUGAUCUUAAGGUCAAGUUUGAAUCUGGGUCAUGUAGGGUCAAAAAUUAGGUCACCGGGUCAAAUCAAAGGAAAAGCUUUUUAACACUUUAGAGGCCACAAUUAUGACCAUAUCUUAAUGAAAUUUGGUCAGAAUGUUAAUCUUUAUGAUCUUUAGGCCAAUAGGUCAGGUGAGCGAUACAGGACCUUCAUGGCCCUCUUGUUUAGAGUUAUGGCCCCUGAAUUACUCAAAAAUGCACAUUUCACCUUGUGACAUGCCUAGCUCAAAAAGUGUUUGAUAUAGAAUCAUGAAACCUUGCAUGAGUCUUUAUCAUGAUAUGAACUUGUACACCUCCUAUUUUUCGAGUUAUGGCCCCUGAAUUACUCAAAAAUGCACAUUUUCACCUUUUCAUGAAACCUUGCAUGAGUCUUUAUUAUGCCCCCUUUCGAAGGAGGAGGGGUAUAUUGUUUUGCAGAUGUCGGUUGGUCGGUCGGUCGGAAUGUAGACCAAUUUGUUUCCAGACGAUAACUCAAGAACUCUUGGGCCUAGGAUCAUGAAAGUUGAUAGGGAGGUUGGUCAUCACCAGCAGAUGACCCUAUUGAUUUUGCGGUCUGUAUGUCAAAGGUCAAGGUCACAGUGACCCUGAAUAGUAAAACGGUUUCCGGAUGAUAACUCAAGAACACUUGGGCCUAGGAUCAUGAAUGUUGAUAGGGAGGUUGGUCAUGACCAGCAGAUGACCCCUAUUGAUCUUGAGGUCAGUAUGUUAAAGGUCGAGGUCACAGUGACCCAGAACAGUUAAACGGUUUCCGGAUGAUAACUUAAGAACGUUUAGGCCUAGGGUCACAAAAGUUGAUUGAGAUUGGUCAUGACCAGCAGAUGACCCUUUUUGAUUUUGAUGUCAGUAUGUCAAAGGUCAAGGUCAUAGUGACCAGGAACAGUAAAAUGGUUUCCGGGCAAUAACUCAAGAACGCUUGGGCCGAGUGUCAGGAAAAUUGAUAGUUAGGUUGGCCAUGACCAGCAGAUGACCCCUAUUGAUUUUGAGGUCAUUAUGUCAAAGGUCAAGGUCACAUUGGCCAGGAACAGUUAAACGGUUUCUGAUCUUCUUGUCCAAAACCAUAGGGCCUAGGGCUUUGAUAUUUGGUAUGUAGCACAAUCUAGUGGUCCUCUACAAAGAUUGUUCAGAUUAUUUCCCUGGGGUCAAAUAUUGCCCCACCCCGGGGGUCACAUGGUUUAUAUAGACUUAUAUAGGAAAAUUUUUUGAAAAACCUCUUGUCCAAAACCACAGGACCUAGGGCUUUGAUAUUUUAUAUAUGACAUCAUCUAGUGGUCCUCUACUAAGAUUGUUCAAAUUAUUCCCCUAGGGUCAAAUAUGGCUCCGCCCUGGGGGUCACAUGGUUUACAUAGACUUAUAUAGUGAAAAACUUUGAAAAUCUACUUGUCCAAACCACAAAGACUAUGGCUUUGAUAUUUUGUAAUCUAGCAUCAUCUAGUGGUUCUCUACCAAGUUUGUUCAAAUUAUCCCUCUAGGAUCAAAUAUGGCCCCACCCCAGGGGUCACAUGGUUCAUAUAGACUUACGUAGGGAAAAACUUAGAAUCUCCAUGUCCAUAACUUACGGUACAUCAUUGUACCCCCCGACAACAAAGUUGUAAGGGGGGGGUAUACUGGUUUCAGGUUGUCUGUCUGUCUGUCCGUCUGGCCGUCUGUCCGUAGACGCAAUCUUGUGCGCACCAUCUCUCCUUAUCCCCUUGACAGAAUUUAAUGAAACUUCACACAAGUAAUCAGUACCAACAGUAGUUGUGCAUGGGGCAUGUUAGGUUCUUUUAGAAAAAAAAUUUGCAGAGUUAUGGGACUUUGUUUUUUUUGCUACUAUACUAUAUACAUAGACACAAUCUUGUGCGCACCAUCUCUCCUCAUCCCCUUGACACAAUUUAAUGAAACUUCACACAAGUGAUCAGUACCAACAGUAGUUGUGAAUGGGGCAUGUUAGGUUCUUUCAGAAAAAAGAUUUGCAGGGUUAUGGGACUUUGUUUUUUUGUUACUAUACUAUAUACAUAGACACAAUCUUGUGCGCACCAUCUCUCCUCAUCCCCUUGACACAAUUUAAUGAAACUUCACACAAGUGAUCAGUAACAACAGUAGUUGUGCAUGGGGCAUGUUAGGUUCUUUCAGAAAUUUUUUUUGCAGAGUUAUGGGACUUUGUUUUUUUGUUACUAUACUAUAUACAUAGACACAAUCUUGUGCGCACCAUCUCUCCUCAUCCCCUUGACACAAUUUAAUGAAACUUCACACAAGUAAUCAGUAACAACAGUAGUUGUGCAUGGGGCAUGUUAGGUUCUUUCAGCGACAAGCAUUGCAGAGUUAUGGGACUUUGUUUCUUGUUAACAUACUAUGUACAUACAGUCUGCAUAUGCAAUCUUGUGCAUGCCUAAUCUACCAAACCCUUGCACACAAUUUAAUGAAACUUCACACAAGUGGUCAGUACAAACCCUAGUUGUGCAUGGUGCAUGUUACAUUCUUUUAGAUAAAUAUUCUGCAUAGUUAUGGGACUUUGUUUUUAGCUCACCUGAGCAAUGCUCAGGUGAGUUUUUCUGAUCGCUCGAUGUCCGGCGUCUGUCGUCCGUCGUCUGUCGUCUGUCGUCUGUCGUCUGUCGUCCGUCGUCUGUCAACAUUUAGCUUGUGUAUGCGAUAGAGGCUGUAUUUUUCAAUUAAUCUUCAUGAAUAUUGGUCAGAAUGAUAACCUUGAUGAAAUCUAGGCCGAGUUCGAAAAUGGGUCAUCUCGGGUCAAAAACUAGGUCACUAGGUCAAAUCAAAGAAAAACCUUGUGUAUGCGAUAGAGGCGGUAUUUUUCAAUUGAUCUUCAUGAAUUUUGGUCAGAAUGAUAACCUUGAUGAAAUCUAGGCCGAGUUCGAAAAUGGGUCAUCUGGGGUCAAAAACUAGGUCACUAGGUCAUAUCAUGUAAAAACCUUGUGUAUGCGAUAGAGGCUGUAUUUUUCAAUUGAUCUUCAUGAAUUUUGGUCAUAAUGAUUACCUUGAUGAAAUUUAGACCAAGUU